rfam:Aedes albopictus isolate Foshan contig115289, whole genome shotgun sequence.
CAAACGGUCCUUUUAAGGACCAUCGAAAAUGAUUUUUUCGAGAGCUGU